rnacentral:rRNA from 1 species
AGCGAACGCUGGCGGCAGGCCUAACACAUGCAAGUCGAGCGGGCACUUCGGUGUCAGCGGCAGACGGGUGAGUAACACGUGGGAACGUACCCUUUGGUUCGGAAUAACGCUGGGAAACUAGCGCUAAUACCGGAUACGCCCUUUUGGGGAAAGGCUUGCUGCCGAAGGAUCGGCCCGCGUCUGAUUAGCUAGUUGGUGGGGUAAUGGCCUACCAAGGCGACGAUCAGUAGCUGGUCUGAGAGGAUGAUCAGCCACACUGGGACUGAGACUCGGCCCAGACUCCUACGGGAGGCAGCAGUGGGGAAUAUUGGACAAUGGGCGCAAGCCUGAUCCAGCCAUGCCGCGUGAGUGAUGAAGGCCUUAGGGUUGUAAAGCUCUUUUGUCCGGGACGAUAAUGACGGUACCGGAAGAAUAAGCCCCGGCUAACUUCGUG